GACGAACCGAGCGAACGUUGUUCGGAAUCACUGGGCAUAAAGGGCGCGUAGGCGGGCCGUCAAGUCAGGGGUGAAAUCCUCCAGCUUAACUGGAGAACUGCCUUUGAUACUGACGGCCUCGAGUGAGGUAGGGGCGUGCGGAACUGAUGGUGGAGCGGUGAAAUGUGUUGAUAUCAUCAGGAACUCCGGUGGCGAAAGCGGCACGCUGGACCUUUACUGACGCUGAGGCGCGAAAGCCAGGGGAGCGAACGGG
rnacentral:rRNA from 1 species